ACGAACGCUGGCGGCGUGCUUAACACAUGCAAGUCGAACGGAAAGGCCCUGCUUUUGUGGGGUGCUCGAGUGGCGAACGGGUGAGUAACACGUGAGUAACCUGCCCUUGACUUUGGGAUAACUUCAGGAAACUGGGGCUAAUACCGGAUAGGAGCUCCUGCUGCAUGGUGGGGGUUGGAAAGUUUCGGCGGUUGGGGAUGGACUCGCGGCUUAUCAGCUUGUUGGUGGGGUAGUGGCUUACCAAGGCUUUGACGGGUAGCCGGCCUGAGAGGGUGACCGGCCACAUUGGGACUGAGAUACGGCCCAGACUCCUAAGGGAGGCAGCAGUGGGGAAUAUUGCACAAUGGGCGGAAGCCUGAUGCAGCAACGCCGCGUGCGGGAUGACGGCCUUAGGGUUGUAAACCGCUUUCGCCUGUGACGAAGCGUGAGUGACGGUAAUGGGUAAAGAAGCACCGGCUAACUACGUG
rnacentral:rRNA from 1 species